AUCUAUAUAAUGGUCAAGUUGGAGCAAUUUCUUUCACAAAACUAUUGAUUGCAACUCAGCUUUGAACUUCAUAUUCUAAAUUAGUGGAUUCUCCUCUCUUUUCCAACCAAGAGAUCCACAAGAUCUUUAAAUUUUCAAUUUAACCAUUAGAACCCAUUUUAGUGAUGAAUCUAAGCUUGAUUUGCUAAUAUGGGGUAUUCUCCUUGUCAUCAUGAAAACAUGCGGCUUGCUCUUCAAUCAAGUGCGCUUGCACUGCAAGUGCACGAUGAGGUGUUCAUGUCAAGAAAAGGGCGACAUAAUGAACACAAACGGAAAUGUUGGGAGCAACUCCAGGGAGGAGUGACUUCAAGCAAAUGGUUUUAGCUAUCAGAAACAAUGAUGAGAGGAGGAACAAGGACCUGGAAAUGGAAGGUGAUACUAUAUGAGCAUUGUAAUUAACUUGAAAUAAAUUUUCCUAUCUAUGCCUCUUUUCAAAAGUAGGGGGAAUUUCAGUUUUCCCUAAAAACAAUCACUAUUAUGUCUCUUGAGGAAAUCUUGAAAUUUAUUAUGGCUGUCUUAGGAUAGAAUGGAAGUUACAUUGCUGAUACUAAAAUUUUUGACUUGAAAGACAUUAUAUUUUUUUUUAACUUCCAAAA